rnacentral:rRNA from 1 species
AGAGUUUGAUCCUGGCUCAGAUUGAACGCUGGCGGCAUGCCUUACACAUGCAAGUCGAACGGUAGCGGGCCUUCGGGUGCCGACGAGUGGCGAACGGGUGAGUAAUGUAUCGGAACGUACCUUUCAGUGGGGGAUAACGUAGCGAAAGUUACGCUAAUACCGCAUAUUCUGUGAGCAGGAAAGCAGGGGAUCGCAAGACCUUGCGCUGAUUGAGCGGCCGAUAUCAGAUUAGCUAGUUGGUGAGGUAAAGGCUCACCAAGGCGACGAUCUGUAGCGGGUCUGAGAGGAUGAUCCGCCACACUGGAACUGAGACACGGUCCAGACUCCUACGGGAGGCAGCAGUGGGGAAUUUUGGACAAUGGGGGCAACGCUGAUCCAGCCAUGCCGCGUGAGUGAAGAAGGCCUUCGGGUUGUAAAGCUCUUUCGGCCGGGAAGAAAUCGCAUGGGUUAAUACCCUGUGCGGAUGACGGUACCGGCAUA